CUGCCCGUCUUGGGCCCGCCCUUCCGGGCCCUGCCGCGUUGAGUGGCGGAGUCGGGAUCCAGGUGGCCCGCCGGCCGGCUCAGUCCACCUCCCCGCUCCCGGCCUCGCGCCCCACCCCUUGGAUGAGAAAACUGAAACUGAGAGGGGACGUGACUGAUCCAAGGCCUGGCAUUUCCAGCUCCGGAGCCCGCCACAAGAAGCUCCUAGCCCCACAUGAUGUGAAUGCACUGGGCCCCAGUGCGCCAUCUGUCUCUUUGCCUCAGUUCUCCCCUGUGCCAUGACCUCCCAUCAGGGCCGGCAUAGGGGGCAUCAGGAGAAUGGGUGCAGUUGUCACCUGGAAACCUCAAAAUUCUUGGGGCCCAGUCAUGGUCACUAUACAGCAGCCACCCCUGUCCCCAAACACUGAAGGCCCAACCCAGAGCUGGAUCACAAGGAAGACUGGAAGCUCCACUCCCCCAUGGAGCUUCCCUGUUACCAGAGGACACAAACACACAUCUGCAUGUUGAUCUGAGAGCCCUGUGUGGAGAGGAACUAGGCCCCCAGCCAACAACCAGCAGUGACUCACUGUGAGAGAGUGAAUCAUCUUGGAAGUGGAUCCUAAGCCCCAAUAGAGACUUCAGAUGAAACUGCAACCCUGGCUGACAUCUGACUGCAGUGGCAUAAGAAACCCUUAUGUCAGAAUCACCCUGCAAAGCCCAAAUUCUUGACCCACCAAGUGAAAGAGAAUAAAUGACGAUUGUUGUGUUUGAACUCCCAUGUUUUUGGGUAAUCAGUUCCACGGCAAUAAAUAACUAAUGUACUAGACAUCUGAGCAGAGGCCUUGCUGCACUGCGGAAGCUAGAUGAUAGCUGGGGAAGUGUUCCAGAUGAAACAGGGCAGGCAGGAGCCCCGAGGCAGAAAUGAACUUGCUGUG
rnacentral:lncRNA from 1 species